CCUACGGGUGGCAGCAGUGGGGGAUAUUGCACAAUGGGGGAAACCCUGAUGCAGCGACGCCGCGUGGGUGACGAAGCGCCUCGGCGCGUAAAGCCCUGUCAGCAGGGAAGAAAAUGCCGGUACCUGAAGAAGAAGCCCCGGCUAACUCCGUGCCAGCAGCCGCGGUAAUACGGAGGGGGCAAGCGUGCUCCGGAGUUACUGGGUGUAACGGGGGCGCAGGCGGCGAUGCAAGCCAGGAGUGAAAGCCCGGGGCCCAACCCCGGGACUGCUCGUGGAACUGCGUGGCUAGAGUGCAGGAGGGGCAGGCGGAAUUCCUGGUGUAGCGGUGAAAUGCGUAGAUAUCAGGAGGAACACCGGUGGCGAAGGCGGUCUGCUGGACAGCAACUGACGUUGAGGCGCGAAAGCGUGGGGAGCAAACAGGAUUAGAUACCCUGGUAGUC
rnacentral:rRNA from 1 species